rnacentral:rRNA from 1 species
AAAGCUCAGAUUUGAAAUCUGGUGCCAUAGAGGCAUCUGAGUUGUAAUCUGUAGAGGAGUAUUCGAGUAUGGCUUUGGCUUAAGUUCCUUGGAACAGGGCGUCAAAGAGGGUGAGAACCCCGUUUGCAGCCUUUGUCUUAUGCUUAUGUGAAUCUCCUUCAACGAGUCGAGUUGUUUGGGAAUGCAGCUCUAAAUUGGUGGUAAAUUCCAUCUAAAGCUAAAUACUGGCAAGAGACCGAUA